UUGGUGGCGACCGGCGCACGGGUGCGUAACGCGUAUGCAACCUACCCAUAACAGGGGGAUAACACUGAGAAAUUGGUACUAAUACCCCAUAACAUCAGGACCGGCAUCGGUUCUGGUUGAAAACUCCGGUGGUUAUGGAUGGGCAUGCGUUGUAUUAGCUGGUUGGUGAGGUAACGGCUCACCAAGGCAACGAUACAUAGGGGGACUGAGAGGUUAACCCCCCACAUUGGUACUGAGACACGGACCAAACUCCUACGGGAGGCAGCAGUGAGGAAUAUUGGUCAAUGGACGCAAGUCUGAACCAGCCAUGCCGCGUGCAGGAAGACGGCUCUAUGAGUUGUAAACUGCUUUUGUACGAGGGUAAACGCUCUUACGUGUAAGAGCCUGAAAGUAUCGUACGAAUAAGGAUCGGCUAACUCCGUGCCAGCAGCCGCGGUAAUACGGAGGAUCCAAGCGUUAUCCGGAUUUAUUGGGUUUAAAGGGUGCGUAGGCGGUUUGAUAAGUUAGAGGUGAAAUACCGGUGCUUAACACCGGAACUGCCUCUAAUACUGUUGAACUAGAGAGUAGUUGCGGUAGGCGGAAUGUAUGGUGUAGCGGUGAAAUGCUUAGAGAUCAUACAGAACACCGAUUGCGAAGGCAGCUUACCAAACUAUAUCUGACGUU
rnacentral:rRNA from 1 species